rnacentral:misc_RNA from 1 species
GUGUUUAUAUUAUAUCGGUGUGUUUGUAUGUUUGUGUGUACAUGUGUGUCAAAGAAAUGCGGGCUGCGCACGGGUGGGGUGCGCUGGCGGGCGCCCAGGAUCGCGUGACGGUGCUAUGCCGCCCAGCCACCCUCGGCCGCCCAACCAGCAUCACCCCCCGCGCGCACUGCCCUCCUCACAAUUCACGGUGCCUAAUAUCUGUAGUACUGUGAUGAUCCUUCCGCAGGUUCACCUACGGAAA